rfam:Myotis lucifugus cont2.56147, whole genome shotgun sequence.
CAGGGAGGGGGAGGGUCCCUCAGACCGGAUUGUGAGAGGGCGCAGGCCAGGCCGAGGGACCCCACCGGUGCAUG